GAUGAAGAACGUAGCGAAAUGCGAUAAGUAAUGUGAAUUGCAGAAUUCCGUGAAUCAUCGAAUCUUUGAACGCACAUUGCGCCCCUUGGUAUUCCAUGGGGCAUGCCUGUUCGAGCGUCAUUUGUACCUUCAAGCUCUGCUUGGUGUUGGGUGUUUGUCUCGCCUCUGCGUGUAGACUCGCCUCAAAAUAAUUGGCAGCCGGCGUAUUGAUUUCGGAGCGCAGUACAUCUCGCGCUUUGCACUCAUAACGACGACGUCCAAAAGUACAUUUUUACACUCUUGACCUCGGAUCAGGUAGGGAUACCCGCUGAACUUAAGCAUAUCAAUAAGCGGAGGA
rnacentral:misc_RNA from 1 species